UCGAGCGGUAGCACAGAGAGCUUGCUCUCGGGUGACGAGCGGCGGACGGGUGAGUAUUGUCUGGGAAACUGCCUGAUGGAGGGGGAUAACUACUGGAAACGGUAGCUAAUACCGCAUAACGUCGCAAGACCAAAGUGGGGGACCUUCGGGCCUCAUGCCAUCAGAUGUGCCCAGAUGGGAUUAGCUAGUAGGUGGGGUAACGGCUCACCUAGGCGACGAUCCCUAGCUGGUCUGAGAGGAUGACCAGCCACACUGGAACUGAGACACGGUCCAGACUCCUACGGGAGGCAGCAGUGGGGAAUAUUGCACAAUGGGCGCAAGCCUGAUGCAGCCAUGCCGCGUGUGUGAAGAAGGCCUUCGGGUUGUAAAGCACUUUCAGCGGGGAGGAAGGCGAUAAGGUUAAUAACCUUGGCGAUUGACGUUACCCGCAGAAGAAGCACCGGCUAACUCCGUGCCAGCAGCCGCGGUAAUACGGAGGGUGCAAGCGUUAAUCGGAAUUACUGGGCGUAAAGCGCACGCAGGCGGUCUGUCAAGUCGGAUGUGAAAUCCCCGGGCUCAACCUGGGAACUGCAUUCGAAACUGGCAGGCUAGAGUCUUGUAGAGGGGGGUAGAAUUCCAGGUGUAGCGGUGAAAUGCGUAGAGAUCUGGAGGAAUACCGGUGGCGAAGGCGGCCCCCUGGACAAAGACUGACGCUCAGGUG
rnacentral:rRNA from 1 species